CCUACGGGUGGCAGCAGUGGGGAAUAUUGGACAAUGGGGGGAACCCUGAUCCAGCCAUGCCGCGUGUGUGAAGAAGGCCCUCGGGUUGUAAAGCACUUUCAGUGAGGAAGAACGCCUGGUGGUUAAUACCCAUCAGGAAAGACAUCACUCACAGAAGAAGCACCGGCUAACUCCGUGCCAGCAGCCGCGGUAAUACGGAGGGUGCGAGCGUUAAUCGGAAUUACUGGGCGUAAAGCGCGCAUAGGUGGCUUGAUAAGCCGGUUGUGAAAGCCCCGGGCUCAACCUGGGAACGGCAUCCGGAACUGUCAAGCUAGAGUGCAGGAGAGGAAGGUAGAAUUCCCGGUGUAGCGGUGAAAUGCGUAGAGAUCGGGAGGAAUACCAGUGGCGAAGGCGGCCUUCUGGACUGACACUGACACUGAGGUGCGAAAGCGUGGGUAGCAAACAGGAUUAGAUACCCGAGUAGUC
rnacentral:rRNA from 1 species